ensembl:lncRNA
CCUAAAACAUCUCGUUCUAACAUGCCCCCACAUCUCUACGUCACGAUGUGGGAAGAUUUGCAUUGCGCCACCAAAAUGUUCACGUUUCAUUGUGAAAGCGAAACUACUUUGUUUGGCCUUCCAAAAGAGGACACAACUAGAAAUCAGUGGUUAAGUUGUAUUAUCAACACUGUUCCAGAACAGUUCAACCCAAAUAUUCAGAUGUGUGCUGCGCAUUUUACGGAGGAAGCAGACUGUUUCCUGAACCAGUAGCCUGCAAUGCGUCUGUGGCACAACGGCUGUUUCUAUAAAGUUGGGCAGUUCAGACUUUGCAAGGACAGUUGCUUCAGACUCACAGCCUAUACACUUACAUCAUGUCUUGCUGUCUUAUGCAGUGGAGUCUGGAGCUUCGCCAGCAUGCAGUGAACCAGAGAAGUGGAGAGACGUCCCAGCGGCCCACAGCUCUGACAACACCCUUCUAUCCCCCUCUGAAAUCUUUAUUUACUGCCCCCGCACUACUGCUCCCUCGCUGGGGCAAUUAAAGCAUCGUUGUGUCAGACGGUGAGGCGGCGCACCUUUAUGAGGAGUGUCUGUGAAAUAAAGUCAAACAGGACUGUGGAAUGACACAAGGAAAACCAUCCCGGCUAGUCCAAACAUGGGAGCGAUUCUCAGAUUUCAGACCCCCACCUUGUCUUUUGUGCCGAGUUCAGUGAGGCUCCUGGUUAGAAAUGUACACACGUCUAAUUUGAGUUAGAAGAUCUGUGAAUAACCCGAAAGGGAUCAAAUUAAAAUUCCAAGACGGGUGGAAAAAAAGCGAUAUGGGGUUUGAAAGUGGCCCCUGCUUCUUUAAGCUGGAUUUAAGUGAUCAAAGUUCCAUAUGAGGCAGCCAUUGGUGGUAUUGAGUUACUCUAAUGGCUGCCAUGUGCUACUGCCGACGGGCCCGAUCUGCGGACGUCUCAAGGGUGUCGGGCGCAAGACAGUUGUAAAAAGAGGCUUUACAAUAGAGAGAGCGGCAAAAAACCAGAUGCAUGGUGCACUUUCAGACCUCGCUCGCUGGAGAUACUCUGCAUUUUUUUCCGAAUUAGCUCCAGAUUUUUUGAAAGCAUCGAUCAAGGCGUCCGGCGGGUCUCUCAAGACCGUGCCACCCGACAGCGGCCCCCUCUCUAUUGCUUAUUUACUGAUGCGUGGCUUCCCCAUUCCCACUAAACUGCAGGAGACACAAGUGACAAUAAAAGUCAAACACUCGGUGGUUGCCGGAGUCCUGGCUGGUUAUUAGUAUGUAAAUGAAAUCAUCACAGCUGUUCUAUGCACGGAGAGGGGGAGAGAGGAGACAACGAACCCUGCAUUCUGAUGCUGUCUCCUGAACAACCAUCAGGCGCUGGCCACCUCUUCCAUACCCUGCAGUCAAGCACAUCCCGACCAACCCGACACAGCAACAUCAGAUCAACCAAUGGGAUGACUCUUGGAAUCAGACAGCGGUUAAACUUUCACGCCGAAGACGUGCAGACGUGAUCGCCAGAAUGUCGCACCUGAUUCCUGAGCCCAGAGGAGAAUUUUAGCGCUCAGAUGUUGCUCUUUCAAGGCUCCAGAGACUUGAAGGCAUCAUGAAAUUUACAUUAUUUACUUUUGCAAUGCAUGUCUGUGGUCUCAUCGUGCAUGAUUCAUCAGUACAUGCUGUUUGAAAGGACAAAAAGAAAAGCACUUCCAAACUGAAUUUCUCACAGGUUGCUCAUUCAUAUCUCAAAAGACCUAUUGGAAAUCCUAGUUAUAUUUCAUGAAAGUCCAUCUGUGCCGAAUUGCUCACAAGUUGCUCAUUCACAGCUCAAAUAAGGUUAUGUAGAUCCUAAUGCAAGUUUGCAAGCAUGCAAGUGUGUUUCAUGAAAAUUAUGGGUUUUUAUGCAUGUUUCAUGCAAAUACAAAAAUACAAAAAAAACAUUAAAUAUAUAAUAUAAAUAUUGCCUAAAAUAUAAAAAUACACACAAAUGAGUUGAAUUCAUAAUGAGAUUGAUAACAGACUUUGGUAUCUUGAUAUAUCUGAGUACAGUUUGAGACAUUGUUGUGAUCUCUUUUGCAAGAUGCAUGUGAGAUUUAUGUUGUUUUAUGAUUUAAGUAUCCAUUUGCUCUCGAUUUGUGGAUUUUUACAGGAAAGCCCAUCCAAACGGAAUUGAGCACAGGUUGCUCAUUCAUGACUCAAAAGUCCAAAUAGAGAUCCUAAUUAUGUUUCAUUUAAGUAUCAACUUGGUUUCAGAUGUUUCUUCUAAAAUUCCUUUGAAUAAAAAUAAAUCAGUCAAUACUCAAGUACAGAGCUAUAAAAUGAACAUGGACAGCGUAGUUCAAAUCAUAUGGUCUCUGAAUAUUUUGAUGAGAAAUGUUGGAGUUCACAUUGAGAUCUUCUGUGCAGGUGCCAUUCGGUUUUGGCACUUCCUUCCCGCGCCCAAGUAUCCAGCCGCAUGAUGGAUGAAGCAAGCGAAUUGCAGUGUGCAGUAUUUUGCCGCAGUUGAUUGCAAACUGACUCCGGGUAACAUAAUUAUUUACACUGACACAAUAAUGUAAAAUGAUUAACAUCCGCUCAUAUUCAUACCCAUAUAAAUCACUGGCCCACGUCGAGUUCAUCAUUCGGGGAGGGCCAGCGUCUCGCCCUGAGAUUGGAUGGCGGCCAGAUAAGAAGAGUAUUAAUCGUGGAGAAUAUGCCGCAUGGUCGUUUAAAACUUCGAGAAAAGAGAGGCCCUGGCAGAGUGUUUGGCAGAGCGAUGGUUUCUGGCUCCAGCGGGCAGCGCUCAAGAUGGAUUACCACCCUCCAAACGUCCACGUCCGCACCUGACUUCUCAACAUAGAUGUCCUACCUGUGCAUGAAAUAGGGCUUGACCGGCCAACAUGCACUUUUUCUACCCCUUUCUCCCCCAAAAUGAGAAUUACUGCUGGGAGGCUCUGGACAAUUUUAUGUAGGGCUGGAGAACAAAAAUCAAUAUUUAAUUAUCUGUGAGCGUUUGGUGUCACUACAUCUUUAGAUCUGUAGGGUGGAGUGGACAGGGUCACCGGGCCGGUAAGUGAGUCCGUCAGUGACGAGGCCGUCUCGUCCCAAGGCUCCGAUUGGCCUGUCUUCAAUCACCACAAGAGUGAUGACUGAUAAGUCAUUUAUUCGUCGACCUGUGUGUUUGGAGAAGGCCACCUUAAGAAUGAGCCUGCGUGACAUGCGUACAGUACGCUUGAAGUUAAAUAUGGUUUUGACCUAUCAGAAAUAUGGCUUAAAUGCCCCACCUAGAGGUAGGAUGGGACACUUACUGCUUUGGUGGGUGGAAUCCAAAGCAUGCAUGUUGAGAGGAGUGUGAAUUCAUUUUAGUAACCAAAGAGCGGAGCAUAAUACUUGUCAGUAUUUUAUUAUUUCCCAAUUUUAAUCAGAAAUAGGAAACAUGCCUGUUCAGUUAAGGACCAUUUGAUUCACAGUGGGCUCCCAAAGUCUGAGAUCCAUUG